AGUGAACGCUGGCGGUAGGCCUAACACAUGCAAGUCGAACGGCAGCACAGAGGAGCUUGCUCCUUGGGUGGCGAGUGGCGGACGGGUGAGGAAUACAUCGGAAUCUACUCUGUCGUGGGGGAUAACGUAGGGAAACUUACGCUAAUACCGCAUACGACCUACGGGUGAAAGCAGGGGACCUUCGGGCCUUGCGCGAUUGAAUGAGCCGAUGUCGGAUUAGCUAGUUGGCGGGGUAAAGGCCCACCAAGGCGACGAUCCGUAGCUGGUCUGAGAGGAUGAUCAGCCACACUGGAACUGAGACACGGUCCAGACUCCUACGGGAGGCAGCAGUGGGGAAUAUUGGACAAUGGGCGCAAGCCUGAUCCAGCCAUACCGCGUGGGUGAAGAAGGCCUUCGGGUUGUAAAGCCCUUUUGUUGGGAAAGAAAUCCAUCUGGUUAAUACCCGGGUGGGAUGACGGUACCCAAAGAAUAAGCACCGGCUAACUUCGUGCCAGCCGCCGCCGUAAAAC
rnacentral:rRNA from 1 species